AGAAAAAGGAGAGAGAAGAAGGAAGAAGGAAGGAAAAAAAAAUGGAAAGGAAAAAGGACCAAAUGUGCUUCCCUUGUAUGGGAGGAACAUCUAUCCAUUUCCAAGACAGCUGGCUAUUGUUAACAUUUGAACUUGUACUUGUUCUCAUGGAGUCCCAUGAAGGCAAACUUAUCUGUAUAUGGAUUGGAAUGUUCUUUUAUUUUGGACACUUGCUUGAUUUCAGACCUCUGUAAAUGGCUUGGAAGAAAGAUUCCUUUUCGUGAUAUGCUGCAUAUUAUCCUUUUCCUAGAAGCUCAGAAUCAGAGGGGAUAUUGUUGAAAGUUCCUGUGAUAAGAUGGAAAGAACCCUGGGUUUGAAAUGAGUCCUCUUAUCUAGAUUACCAUGGGCAAGUCACUGAUCGUGCUUAUGUCUAUAAAAGGGUGAUAAUACCUCACAUAGCCACCCAAAAGGCUAAAAAAAGAUUAUGUCUAUAAAGGGCUUUGUAAACUUUAAAUGGUAUAUAAUACAAGUUAUAUAUAAUACAAGAAUGAAAGGAAAGAAGAGAGAAAAUGGGAAAACAGAGUUUGAAAAAAGUACCAUGACUUUCCUGGGGUAAAGCUCAUAAGACUCUGAGAUUGGACCAGACCAUACUUUACCACCCACCCUGCUCCAGUUCAACAAACCCCAGAGGCUCUCUAUCAAUUCUAGAAUCAAAGAGAAAAUUUUCCUUUUGGCAUUAAAAGUCCUUCAUAAGCUCUUUCCUA